CGGGGGUUACAAGAAACAAUGGCCACAAGCUAGCAGAGAGCAGAUUUAGACUGGACAUUAGGAAGAACUUCUUCACAGUUCGAGUGGCCAAGGUCUGGAACGGGCUCCCAAGGGAGGUGGUGCUCUCCCCUACCCUGGGGAUCUUCAAGAGGAGGUUAGAUGAGUAUCUAGCUGGGGUCAUCUAGACCCAGCACUCUUUCCUGCUUAUGCAGGGGGUCGGACUCGAUGAUCUAUUGAGGUCCCUUCCGACCCUAACAUCUAUGAAUCUAUGAAACUUUUCAGCUGAACCAUUGAAACAAGCAAUAUUGGUGUUUGUAGGCCCAGAUAUUUUAGGAAUAAUGAGAAGUCUUAUAUCAAAACAAUAAUUUGGGCGUUUUUUUAUGGCUGCCCACUCAGUUGUUUCUCUUCCCCUCCCCAUACUAUGUGUGUGUAUGUGUGCAUGCAAGUGUAGAUGUACACACUCAAACCCACAUACACUCUUGCGCACAUUUAUAACAUAAAGUCAAUUCCAAAAUGUAACUGAAUGACUAAUGUUAAUUGCUGAGUCUGAGGUGGUCUCAGAUGUCUCUUAUUUCAUGUGCUGUCCAUGUCUGAUUCUCCUCUACAUAUUGCCCUAUGGCGACGUUGUUAUUAUACUGUGCUUUAGCACUGCCUUUUGGAAGUAGUACUUUUGGAAGUACUAAAGCACAGUGCAGUAACCAGUGACUGGUUGCAUCCUGAGGGACAGCCAGCAUGGAUUUGUUGCAGGUGGGUCUUGCCUGAUCAAUCCCAUCUCCUUCUAUGACCAGGUGACAUAUCACCUGGACAAAGGAGAAGAGAUUGACAUCAUAUAUCUGGACUUUAAAAAAGCCUUUGAUCUGGUGUCCCAUGAUCUCCUCAUGGGAAAUUUGGCACACUGCAACCUUGGCUACAUCACAGUCUGAUGGCUGGGGAAUUGGCUCCGAGGUCAGACUCAGAAAGUGGUAAUCAACAGAAGUGAAUCAUCAUGGUGUUCUGUGACCAGUAGUGUCCCUCAAAGCUCCAUCCUUGGGCCUGUACUCUUUAACAUCUUUAUUAACAAUGUGGACCUUGGUGUCAGAAGCGGAUUGACCAAGUUCUCUGAUGACACCAAACUUUGGGGUGAAGUAUCCAUAGGAUAGGUUGGUGAUCCAAGCCAACCUUGACAGGCUUAGAAAAUAGGUGGAUAAAAGCUGAUUACAUUCAGUACAGAAAAAUGCAAGGUACUCCACCUCAGGAGAAAAAACCCACAUCAUGCUCCACAGCAGAAAGGGACUUGGGAGUCAUGAUUGACCCCAAAAUGAACAUGAGCCACCAAUGCGAUGUCAUAGCUGGUAAAGCAAACAAAACUCUGGCUUGCAUCCAUAGAUGCUUCUCAAGCAAAUCUCAAGAUGUCAUCCUCCUGCUGUACUCGGCCUUGGUGAGGCCACAGCUGGAGUACUGCAUCCAAUUCUGGACUCCACAAUUUAAAAAGGAUGAGGAAAAGCUUGAGAGAGUCCAGAGGAGAGCCACGUGCAUGAUCAGAGGGCAAGAGAAUAGGCCUUAAGAUGAGAGGCUAAGAGCCAUGGGCAUGGGUGACUGGUGCCUCUUGAGUCAGGGGGGGCAUGUGCCUCCUGGAAUAGACUGCCUCUAGAGGUGGUGCAAGCACCUACUCUCGACUCUUUUAAAAAUAUUUGGACAGCUAUCUUGCUGGGAUCCUUUGACCCUAGCUGACUUCCUGCCCCUGGGGCAAAGGGCUGGACUCGAUGAUCUUCCAAGGUCCCUUCCAGCCCUAAUGUCUAUGAAAUUUAUUAAAUCUAUGAAACCACCCCAUACUGUGCUGUAUUUGUAGCACAUGGUUAUUUUUAGCCACUACUUUGCCAUAGCGGCACACUAUAAUGGGGGAGUGCAUCAGUAUGGCAAAGUAGCUGUCUGUCGUGUAGAUGCACGUGAUCACUACAGUGCCAUAGCACAUCACUACAUUCCGUAGUGUGAUGUGUAGACACGCCCUUAUAGAGUUAACAGAGAUGCUGUACCAUUAUUGGGAUUUUCAUAUUGGCUCACCAAGACACUAAAUUCAUACUGCUCUUUUCUAGGAAUAUAUAUCCAACCCAGAAUUAUAUAUAAUUCCAAACAUCAAUACCAGGGUAAAUUUCUAAACAAAUCUUUUUUUCUGUUUACUACUCCCCAGGCCCCCACAAUAAUGUAGUAAAGUAGUAACAUCCCAAAUAAGUUCCACCUGAAAUCAGAUGCAUAAUACAAAAUUUGAGGGAGAAUGGUGGUGACUUCUUUUUGAUGGUCUUAGAGGAGCAGAAGUUUGAAAAUAGGGUUUGUACAGAGAAGUCAAUAUGGGGUGACUACUGCAGUUCAUAAUUCAGGAGGAAUGGUGACACUGACUGUAUGCAAACAGUUUUCAAAACAAACAAUUAAAAAAUUGUUUCACUGAUCUUUCACAUACAGUAAUCCUGGGAAUAGUAAGGAAAUUUUUCAGAAGACGUGAUCGUAUUUCUUAAGGACAAAAGGAGUACAGUAGAGUAUUAUAAUAGUAUAUAAUAUAUUGAAUAUAUUAAAACACAUUAAGUUCAUACUGCUCUUUUCUGCGUCAACCUAACUUCCAUAAUAACAUCCUCAUUUCUGGUCACUCAAAUGCCAUGCUUCAUUAGCAAUAAACCACUCUAGGAUAUGCAUGGUUAGUAUGUUACUGUCACAACUCUCCUAACAGGUUGAAAGGACUUUGUCCUCAGCCUCAUGCCUUUCUAAACGUGGGAGAUAUGCAUCAGUGACCUAAUGAACAACCAGCUGUGGGCCUCUUCAUUAGCAAAGAGUGCCUGAAAAGGGGUAUGUUAAUACAUAUCAUCAAUUUUAUACUUGAUUGUAAUAGAAAUCUGAAGUGACUGAGUCUUACUGGACCUGGAACAAGUGGCUGGUAAUCCCAUCCCUCACUACUUGAUAGAAUGUUUAUAUUGGCGCUGCUAAUAAUAGUAAUAUAAAACCCAACCUAAGAGUAAUAUUUCUCUCUUCACCCACUGAACAAAGAUAAGUAAUUUAACUGAAAGGGUGGUAUGCAUUAGAGAUGUACUUACUGCUUGGGUGGAAGGCUAAAAUUAGUUCUGAAUUUAGUUCUGAACAUGAUGUUAGCCUUAUCUCAUUAAACAUUAGAGUAAAGAGACUAAACUGCUCUCUGUAUUCAGUAGAGAACUAGCAAGAUUCUGACUCUGGGGAAAUGCAUUUAUAGUAGUGUGCAAUAUUUAUGUUUAUGCAAUGACAUUUUGUACUAGCUAGACCUUUUCAGAGCAGUCUUCCUUCGUAGAUAAGAGUUGUACUAAACCAGACCUGGAGGUCAUAAAUGCAUGAAUCACUAUAGCAAGACCUCUAUCUGGUAAACUCAAGUGCAAUCUCCUGCCAGGCCCCAAACAGAAAUAGCUAUGCUAGCAAAAGCCAACUAUUUGGUGUCCAAUAGCAGGGAAGAGUCCAUAGCUGUGAAGUGGCUUAAUGGGAAGAAAAAUGCUCUUGAUAGUAAGAGAUAUUCUCAAAGAAGCAAAUAAUUCAGUGUGUUUUCCUUUUUCACCUCAGUCUGGCACGUGCUCUUUACCCACUGUCCUGUCUUAACUCAGCAUUAGGAAAAAUAAUGCUAUUUUAUGGAGAAAAGUACUAGGAGCAGGAUGCCAUACUGCUGUUGAUUUCAUCCAUAUUAUCUUGCUACCUCUCCCAGUUACUUUACAUACAUAUGUAAACUACAUGGAUAAAAUGCAGAGAAGACAAAGUCUUGUAGGAUUUCACAACAGAGGGUUCUGGAGGGAGAAUUACAUUUAUACAAAAAUAACCUUCUCUGAUUGGUCUAACAGGUCCAGUAUCAUUACUUGCCUUUCUGAUUCAUUGUUAUUCCACUGUGUUAAGGAACCUAAAUCUUUUCAACUUAUUUGUGAACUAUGACUCACUGUUAGGUCGUUGUUUCAUUAGACUGAAGUAAUGCAAACUGAUUACACAAGUGCAAAUGCAGCUUGCAAAUGUAAUCUCUCCAUUUUGUGCUGGAUUUAAUGAAAUGUAUUUCACCCCAGCCUUUUAAAAAUGUAUUCCAUUUAAUUGCCUCCAAUCAGUUAAGAAAUCUGCUAGCUUGGAAAUCCAGUUGCAAAAAAGAGCAUCCUCCAUAAGUAAUGGUCAUAAAAAAUCUGAAGAAAUACCAUUUUUAAAAAGUAAGAUUGAUCCAUUAACAAAGAAAUAUCACAGUUCAAUUUUUUAAAUCCUGCAUACAGCAAAUAUCUACAAUAAGAGAUUUGAGAUGUACAGUGGAGACAUUUAAGGUCACCACAAGGUCGAAUGAAAGAGGAAGUGGGGCAAAGCAAAUAAAUGGCACCAUUGAGUUAAUAGGGCUCCACAGAUGGGGGGAGACGCACCUCCAGGUAUUCCUCCCUAAUAGAACAAUUCUAAUUGAGUUCAUGUGCCAUCCCCAGAAACUUAAUCAGUGUAUCUUUCUUGGGUGUGCUUCUUGCAAAUUCUUAUCUCCUCUGCUCAUGCACAGAGCUCUGUGCAACAAAAAGGGACUCCAUUUGGCUUGCAAGAAGUCAGCUCAUUAGUAGAAGAACUCUGUGCUUGGUUUGCAGACAGGAAUGUAUUGCAAAAUUCUCCAAGCGCAUUGAGCUUCCUGUGGUAGCACUCCCUCGUUCCUCAGUCACUGCUUGACUCCAUUUGAUAUGGAAACAAGCACUUGAAUUGCUAUACAUUUUCUUGCGGCAGGUUUUCCACCCUCCUGACUAGGGUCCAAGUUCCAGACCCAUCUCAGACAAGGGAGGGUCACUAACUACAGCUUCCCAAGUGACAGCUCAAACUGCACUAUAUUUAGGGUCGAGAAGGAUUUUUACCCCCUGGUCAGGCAGGGGGGGUGCACUCCCUCCCAGCCCUUCUCUAGGAUAGCCAGCAUUCUCUUGGGCAGCCUGCAGGCAUGUUCCUGGCAAUACUGGAAAGAGAAAAUGAAACUACAUUUCUGGCUGUUUGAAGGCUUAAACCGGUGAGGACAGACCCCACCCAAGCCCUGUGGACUACUGAUUCAGCAGGUCCAUCGUUCCCUCGCGUUCCAGCUGCUGGCUCCCCAUCGUGACAAGCCUCCUAACCUACACAGUGCCUUCAUACAGCAGGAUUCCCACCACUGAUACUAGAGGCGAACAGGAGCAGGAAGGGGACAAGCGCCUAACACUGACCCCCCACAAGACUAGGGUUGCCAACCCUCCAGGAUUGCCCUGGAGUCUCCAGGAAUUAGACAUAAAUCUGCAAGAGACUUCUGAGAGUCACCUGGAUCAAUGAUACGGCAUUCAUUAAAAUAAGUAUUAAAAGUUUAAUCUGA